rnacentral:rRNA from 1 species
UGGGGAAUAUUGCACAAUGGGCGAAAGCCUGAUGCAGCAACGCCGCGUGAGGGACGACGGCCUUCGGGUUGUAAACCUCUUUUAGCAAGGAAGAAGCGAAAGUGACGGUACUUGCAGAAAAAGCGCCGGCUAACUACGUGCCAGCAGCCGCGGUAAUACGUAGGGCGCAAGCGUUAUCCGGAAUUAUUGGGCGUAAAGAGCUCGUAGGCGGUUUGUCGCGUCUGCUGUGAAAAACCCGAGGCUCAACCUCGGGCCUGCAGUGGGUACGGGCAGACUAGAGUGCGGUAGGGGAGAUUGGAACUCCUGGUGUAGCGGUGGAAUGCGCAGAUAUCAGGAAGAACACCGAUGGCGAAGGCAGAUCUCUGGGCCGUAACUGACGCUGAGGAGCGAAAGGGUGGGGAGCAAAACAGGCUUAGAUACCCUGGUAGUCCACCCCGUAAACGUUGGGAACUAGUUGUGGGGUCCAUUCCACGGAUUCCGUGACGCAGCUAACGCAUUAAGUUCCCCGCCUGGGGAGUACGGCCGC